AGUGACUCUGUUCAACGGCCGCGGUAUCCUAACCGUGCGAAGGUAGCGUAAUCACUUGUUCUUUAAAUGAGGACUAGUAUGAAUGGCACCACGAGGGUUACACUGUCUCCUUUUUCUAAUCAGUGAAACUAAUCUCCCCGUGAAGAAGCGGGGCAUGAAUUUAUAAGACGAGAAGACCCUAUGGAGCUUUAGACUUAAUAACACUCGCUUUUAAACAAUUACACUUCAGAGUAAUAAACAUUUAUCUUAGCUUUUUGAUUAUUAGUUUUAGGUUGGGGUGACCGCGGAGCAAAAAACAACCUCCACAUUGAACGGGGGAACACCCCCUGAGCUACGAGCCACAACUCUAUGCACCAAUAAAUUGACAUUACUUGACCCAAUAUAUUGAUCAACGAACCAAGUUACCCUAGGGAUAACAGCGCAAUCCGCUUAAAGAGCUCCUAUCGACAAGCGGGUUUACGACCUCGAUGUUGGAUCAGGGUAUCCCAGUGGUGCAGCCGCUACUAAAGGUUCGUUUGUUCAACGAUUAAAACCCUACGUGAUCU
rnacentral:rRNA from 1 species